CCUACGGGAGGCAGCAGUGGGGAAUAUUGCACAAUGGGGGAAACCCUGAUGCAGCGACGCCGCGUGAGUGAAGAAGUAAUUCGUUAUGUAAAGCUCUAUCAGCAGGGAAGAAAAUGACGGUACCUGAGUAAGAAGCCCCGGCUAACUACGUGCCAGCAGCCGCGGUCAUACGUAGGGGGCAAGCGUUAUCCGGAUUUACUGGGUGUAAAGGGAGCGUAGACGGCAGUGCAAGUCUGGAGUGAAAGGCGGGGGCUCAACCCCCGGACUGCUCUGGAAACUGUCCGGCUGGAGUGCAGGAGAGGUAAGUGGAAUGCCUAGUGUAGCGGUGAAAUGCGUAGAUAUUAGGAGGAACACCAGUGGCGAAGGCGGCUUACUGGACUGUAACUGACGUUGAGGCUCGAAAGCGUGGGGAGCAAACAGGAUUAGAUACCCUGGUAGUC
rnacentral:rRNA from 1 species